UGCGGUAACAAGCGUGCGGAUAUUUAAUACCUGCACACUUUUCAUUACCGCACCCUGCAUUCAGUGUAUACGAUUUACCUGCACCAAUUUGUCAAGAAAAAACACCGAGCUAUGAUACAAUAUGUAUUUAAACAACGGAUUAUUUAAUAUGAUUUCGAUAGAAUUUCUAGUUUUACAUUUCGUUUGAUAGAUAUUGAGACAUUUCAAUGAUCUAAUUCAAAAGAUACGUUUUAAACUAGUAUGUACUUCUUAAUUAACUGAUUUCAUAUCUAAUCUGGUUGCACAACCAAGACAGAAGAAGGAAGAUAUACAGUAUUGAUUAAUGUGCGCACGCAUACACGCGCGCUAUAACAUGUCUCGAAAUACAAACGACAUGUCUUUCCUCGCUUAAACUUACUCGUGAGAACACUUGAAGCGGAAUUAGUGAUUUCGUUAUACAGCUCAGUUAAUACAAGAGGAAAAACAGAUAAUGGCAGACUGUCCUUACCGAGAUUCGCAGGGACACUUUCUACCAAAUACUAUGUCAGGCCAAGAGGCUUUGGACCGUGGUGUGGCCGACAAAUAUGUAUUUUCACCUAAAUAUGAAGGCACACCAGAAAAUGCAGUAGCAUCAAUCGACAAACAUAAUCCCUAUCAAUACGGUGACGGCCCAAAGAAAGAUCCUGCUCAUAUACCUACCGGAGACAAAUUUGUCCCUCAGAAAGUGUGUGACAAAUACAAGAACUAAUUAAUCUAAAAAUAAACAUUCUUUUCUUAUUGAUGAAACAAUCCAUAGUUCUCGUGUAAUCCCCUAGUACUUAAUUUAUGCGAACUGGUAUUGUUACACUGAAUGGAUUGAAAAGGAAACGUUAUUUAUGCAAUUUGACUUCAUACUAUCAAAAGGAAACAAAUAUUUGAUGAUUUAUUCAAAUUUUAUUAUCUUAACGUUGACCAGUGAAAAUGCAAGCAAAGAAAAUAAAGUUCUUUUCUGUUCUGA